rnacentral:lncRNA from 1 species
GAAAACAUCUCUUGUCUUGACAAUGGAAAAUGUUCAAGAUACUGAGGGCCGUUAAUGAAGUAAUUUUGAAGACUAAUCUUACUCUGUGUUAAUACUAAGCUUACUGAUAUUUUCAACAAUGCAUUAGUAUAUAAUUUAAGAUUCAGAAAAUACAGCUGGUGUCAAAAACAACCUCAGAGAGACAACUUGAAAUGUGGAAG